GACGAACGCUGGCGGCGUGCCUAAUACAUGCAAGUCGAGUGGUCCCUUCGGGGAUAGCGGCGGACGGGUGAGUAACACGUAGGCAACCUGCCUGUAAGACCGGAAUAACUAUCGGAAACGAUAGCUAAGACCGGAUAGCUGGUUUUCUCGCAUGAGAGAAUCAUGAAACACGGGGCAACCUGUGGCUUACAGAUGGGCCUGCGGCGCAUUAGCUAGUUGGUAGGGUAACGGCCUACCAAGGCGACGAUGCGUAGCCGACCUGAGAGGGUGACCGGCCACGCUGGGACUGAGACACGGCCCAGACUCCUACGGGAGGCAGCAGUAGGGAAUCUUCCGCAAUGGACGCAAGUCUGACGGAGCAACGCCGCGUGAGUGAUGAAGGUCUUCGGAUCGUAAAGCUCUGUUGCCCUAGACGAACAGCAAGGAGAGUAACUGCUCUUUGUGUGACGGUAUAGGAGAAGAAAGCCCCGGCUAACUACGUGCCAGCCGCCGCGGUAA
rnacentral:rRNA from 1 species